GGCGGCGUGCUUAACACAUGCAAGUCGAACGAGAAUCACCGGAAGGAGUUUUCGGACAACGGAAGGUGAGGACAGUGGCGGACGGGUGAGUAACGCGUGAGGAACCUGCCUUUCAGAGGGGGACAACAGUUGGAAACGACUGCUAAUACCGCAUAACGCAUAGGUAUCGCAUGGUACUUAUGCCAAAGAUUUAUCGCUGAAAGAUGGCCUCGCGUCUGAUUAGCUGGUUGGUGAGGUAACGGCCCACCAAGGCGACGAUCAGUAGCCGGACUGAGAGGUUGACCGGCCACAUUGGGACUGAGAUACGGCCCAGACUCCUACGGGAGGCAGCAGUGGGGAAUAUUGGGCAAUGGGCGCAAGCCUGACCCAGCAACGCCGCGUGAAGGAAGAAGGCUUUCGGGUUGUAAACUUCUUUUGGCAGGGAAGAGGAGAAGACGGUACCUGCCGAAUAAGCCACGGCUAACUACGUGCCAGCAGCCGCGGUAAUACGUAGGUGGCAAGCGUUGUCCGGAUUUACUGGGUGUAAAGGGCGUGUAGCCGGGUUGGUAAGUCAGAUGUGAAAUGCACGGGCUUAACUCGUGAACUGCAUUUGAAACUGCUGAUCUUGAG
rnacentral:rRNA from 1 species